AGCAUAUCAAUAAGCGGAGGAAAAGAAACCAACAGGGAUUGCCUUAGUAACGGCGAGUGAAGCGGCAAUAGCUCAAAUUUGAAAGCUGGCUCCUUCGGAGUCCGCGUUGUAAUUUGUAGAGGAUGCUUCGGCGAGGGCUCCCGCCUAAGUCCCCUGGAACGGGGCGUCAUAGAGGGUGAGAAUCCCGUAUGCGGUGGGUUGCCUUAGCCAUGUGAAGCUCCUUCGACGAGUCGAGUUGUUUGGGAAUGCAGCUCUAAAUGGGAGGUAAAUUUCUUCUAAAGCUAAAUACCGGCCAGAGACCGAUAGCGCACAAGUAGAGUGAUCGAAAGAUGAAAAGCACUUUGGAAAGAGAGUUAAAAAGUACGUGAAAUUGUUGAAAGGGAAGCGCUUGCAGCCAGACUUGUCCGCAGUUGCUCAGCCGGUCUCCUGACCGGCGUACUCUUCUGCGGCCAGGCCAGCAUCAGUUCGGGCGGUCGGAUAAAGGUUCUGGGAAUGUGGCUCCUCUCGGGGAGUGUUAUAGCCCAGUUCGCAAUGCGACCAGCCUGGACUGAGGAUCUCGCUUCGGCUAGGAUGCUGGCGUAAUGGCUGUAAGCGGCCCGUCUUGAAACACGGACCAAGGAGUCUAACAUCUAUGCGAGUGUUUGGGUGUCAAACCCAUGCGCGUAAUGAAAGUGAACGGAGGUGGGAACCCUCACGGGUGCACCAUCGACCGAUCCUGAUGUCUUCGGAUGGAUUUGAGUAAGAGCAUAGCUGUUGGGACCCGAAAGAUGGUGAACUAUGCCUGAAUAGGGUGAAGCCAGAGGAAACUCUGGUGGAGGCUCGCAGCGGUUCUGACGUGCAAAUCGAUCGUCAAAUUUGGGUAUAGGGGCGAAAGACUAAUCGAACCAUC
rnacentral:rRNA from 1 species